CACUGCCACAUUGGAGAUCAAAUUUCCACAUGAGUUUUGGAGGGGACAAUACAUCCAAACUCCAUCAGACCCUGUUGGAUUCCCUGUUAGAAUGACAUCAAGCCACUCCUGGAGGAGCCUCUCAGGCUAUGGUACCGGGAGCAGGAAAUGAAGCACAGCCCAGUAGACUCCCUGAGCUGACAUGGAGCUGUGAAUUUGGAGAGACCAGCACCACCACAGUUCAUAGGACAGAGUACCAAAAAGAAGAGGAAUACACAAAGAGAACCCCAGAGAUCUGCAAAAGUUCUCUCCUGAGUAUUCAUCAGAGACUGAUCAACAUAAGCAUGUGAGCAAACCACUCAGGACUGGGAAUUUGAAGGGGUUAAAGGAACUGGUGUCCAGUGCACGUAGUAGUUGCAACAGUGCUUUUUUCUACCAGCCAGACUGGAAAAUUUCAUAAUUUACAGAGGAUUGGAUAGAACUCUUGGGAAAACCUUGCCUACCUAGUACGGAAUAAUUAGCUUCAGACUGAGCAUUUCUGUGGAUCUGCCUAACAAUUCUUAAAAGUGGGAUUCAAAAGGAUCAAACUUUGUCCAAGUAAUGUAACUAUAUCCCAUAACAAAGACCAAGAAGAGCUAUAGGAAUACAAAAAUAUCCAACACCUUACAAGGUAAAAAUUCACAGUGUCUAGCAUUUAAUCAAAGAUUACCAGGCACGCAAAGAGGCAGGAAAACAUAAGGAGAAUAUUCAAUCCGUUGAAACUGAUCCAGAGCUGACACAAUGUUAGAAUUAUAAUAGAAGAAUAUUAAGAAAGUUAUUAUAGCUGUACUCUGUAUGUUCAGAAGUUAAAUAGAGACAUGGAAGGUACAAACACAGACCCAAAUUGAACUUCUAGAAAUGAAAACUAUAAUAUGAAAAAUGCACUAGAAGGAAUUAAUGGCAGAUCUGACAUUACAGUAGAUCUCUUCCACUGAAGAGAUCAGUGAAUUUGAAAGCAUUACAAUUGAAAUUACCCACAGUGAAACACAGAAAGAAAAAAAGAGGGGGAAAAAAGCAUCAGUGAGCUCUGGAACAACUUCAAAUGGCCUAAUAUAUGUGUAAUUGGAGUCCCAAAAGAGAGGGGAGUACAGAAAAAAAUUAGAAGAAAUAAUGGCUGAAAAUUAUCUAAACUUGAUGAAAAGUAUAAACCCAAAGUUCCAAGAAGCUCAAUGAUCUGCAGACAUGAGAAACAAAGAAAACUAUACCAUGUCAUCAAUUUAUUGCCUCUCAUCUCCCAGUGCACCCUUCAAUAUGUGCUCUGAAAUAAACAAAAUAAUUUCUUUAAA